rnacentral:rRNA from 1 species
UACGUAGGGUGCGAGCGUUAAUCGGAAUUACUGGGCGUAAAGCGUGCGCAGGCGGUUGGUUAAGUCUGAUGUGAAAGCCCCGGGCUCAACCUGGGAAUUGCAUUCGAUACUGGAUAGCUAGAGUUCGGCAGAGGGGGAUGGAAUUCCGCGUGUAGCAGUGAAAUGCGUAGAUAUCUGGAGGAACACCGGUGGCGAAGGCGGCAUCCUGGACCAAUACUGACGCUCAUGUGCGAAAGCGUGGGGAGCAAACAGG